GCGCACCAGGCGAGAAUUUUUCUCAAUGGGGGAAACCCUGAAGGAGCGACGCCGCGUGGAGGAUGAAGGUCUUCGGGUUGUAAACUCCUGUCAUUUGGGAACAAGCGUCGGUACGUAACUACUACCGGCUUGAUAGUACCAGAAGAGGAAGAGACGGCUAACUCUGUGCCAGCAGCCGCGGUAAUACAGAGGUCUCAAGCGUUGUUCGGAUUCAUUGGGCGUAAAGGGUGCGUAGGUGGCGCCGUAAGUGGGUGUGAAAUUUCGGAGCUUAACUCCGAAACUAGCAUUCCAUACUGCGGUGCUUGAGGACUGGAGAGGAGACUGGAAUUCAUGGUGUAGCAGUGAAAUGCGUAGAGAUCAUGAGGAAGACCAGUGGCGAAGGCGGGUCUCUGGACAGUUCCUGACACUGAUGCACGAAGGCCAGGGGAGC
rnacentral:rRNA from 1 species